UGGGUAACCUGCCUCAAAGAGGGGAAUAGCCUCCCGAAAGGGAGAUUAAUACCGCAUAAUAUGUUUUAGUCGCAUGACUUAAACAUCAAAGGAUUUUCUUUUAGAAAUUCCACUUUGAGAUGGACCCGCGGCGCAUUAGCUAGUUGGUGAGGUAACGGCUCACCAAGGCAACGAUGCGUAGCCGACCUGAGAGGGUGAUCGGCCACAUUGGAGCUGAGACACGGUCCAGACUCUACGGGAGG
rnacentral:rRNA from 1 species